GCCCUUAUAGCUCAGUGGUAGAGCGCAUCACUCGUAAUUUAUGAUGAGGUCCAUCGUUCAAUCCGGUGUGAGGGCA
rnacentral:tRNA from 1 species